UACGGAGGAUCCAAGCGUUAUCCGGAAUUACUGGGCGUAAAGAGUUGCGUAGGUGGCACUGUAAGUUGAUAGUGAAAGCGUUCGGCUCAACCGGAUACACAUUAUCAAAACUGCAGAGCUAGAGGACGAGAGAGGUCACUGGAAUUCCUAGUGUAGGAGUGAAAUCCGUAGAUAUUAGGAGGAACACCGAUGGCGUAGGCAGGUGACUGGCUCGUUCCUGACACUAAGGCACGAAAGCGUGGGGAGCAAACGGG
rnacentral:rRNA from 1 species